GUACUCAGUCCAUUUAUCUGUUGUUGGCUUGUUUGACAUAUUACAGAGUACUCAGUCCAUUUAUCUGCUGUUGGCUUGUUUGACAUAGUACAGAGUACUCAGUCCAUUUAUCUGCUGUUGGCUUGUUUGACAUAUUACAUAGUACUCAGUCCAUUUAUCUGUUGUUGGCUUGUUUGACAUAGUACAGAGUACUCAGUCCAUUUAUCUGCUGUUGGCUUGUUUGACAUGGUACAGAGUACUCAGUCCAUUUAUCUGCUGUUGGCUUGUUUGACAUAUUACAGAGUACUCAGUCCAUUUAUCUGUUGUUGGCUUGUUUGACAUAGUACAGAGUACUCAGUCCAUUUAUCUGCUGUUGGCUUGUUUGACAUAUUACAUAGUACUCAGUCCAUUUAUCUGUUGUUGGCUUGUUUGACAUAGUACAGAGUACUCAGUCCAUUUAUCUGCUGUUGGCUUGUUUGACAUAUUACAUAGUACUCAGUCCAUUUAUCUGCUGUUGGCUUGUUUGACAUAGUACAGAGUACUCAGUCCAUUUAUCUGCUGUUGGCUUGUUUGACAUAUUACAGAGUACUCAGUCCAUUUAUCUGUUGUUGGCUUGUUUGACAUAGUACAGAGUACUCAGUCCAUUUAUCUGUUGUUGGCUUGUUUGACAUAGUACAGAGUACUCAGUCCAUUUAUCUGUUGUUGGCUUGUUUGACAUAGUACAGAGUACUCAGUCCAUUUAUCUGCUGUUGGCUUGUUUGACAUAUUACAUGUUGGCUUGUUUGACAUAUUACAUAGUACUCAGUCCAUUUAUCUGUUGUUGGCUUGUUUGACAUAGUACAGAGUACUCAGUCCAUUUAUCUGCUGUUGGCUUGUUUGACAUGGUACAGAGUACUCAGUCCAUUUAUCUGCUGUUGGCUUGUUUGACAUAUUACAGAGUACUCAGUCCAUUUAUCUGUUGUUGGCUUGUUUGACAUAGUACAGAGUACUCAGUCCAUUUAUCUGCUGUUGGCUUGUUUGACAUAUUACAUAGUACUCAGUCCAUUUAUCUGUUGUUGGCUUGUUUGACAUAUUACAGAGUACUCAGUCCAUUUAUCUGCUAUUGGCUUGUUUGACAUAGUACAGAGUACUCAGUCCAUUUAUCUGUUGUUGGCUUGUUUGACAUAUUACAGAGUACUCAGUCCAUUUAUCUGUUGUUGGCUUGUUUGACAUAUUACAGAGGACUCAGUCCAUUUAUCUGUUGUUGGCUUGUUUGACAUAUUACAGAGUACUCAGUCCAUUUAUCUGCUAUUGGCUUGUUUGACAUAGUACAGAGUACUCAGUCCAUUUAUCUGUUGUUGGCUUGUUUGACAUAUUACAGAGUACUCAGUCCAUGUAUCUGUUGUUGGCUUGUUUGACAUAUUACAGAGUACUCAGUUCAUUUAUCUGCUGUUGGCUUGUUUGACAUAUUACAGAGUACUCAGUCCAUUUAUCUGUUGUUGGCUUGUUUGACAUAGUACAGAGUACUCAGUCCAUUUAUCUGCUGUUGGCUUGUUUGACAUGGUACAGAGUACUCAGUCCAUUUAUCUGCUGUUGGCUUGUUUGACAUAUUACAGAGUACUCAGUCCAUUUAUCUGUUGUUGGCUUGUUUGACAUAGUACAGAGUACUCAGUCCAUUUAUCUGCUGUUGGCUUGUUUGACAUAUUACAUAGUACUCAGUCCAUUUAUCUGCUGUUGGCUUGUUUGACAUGGUACAGAGUACUCAGUCCAUUUAUCUGCUGUUGGCUUGUUUGACAUA